rnacentral:rRNA from 1 species
AGUGAACGCUGGCGGCGUGCUUAACACAUGCAAGUCGAACGAGAACGGGUUAUAGCUUGCUAUAAUUGUCAGCUAAGUGGCGCACGGGUGAGUAAUGUAUAGGUAAUAUGCCUCUUACUAAGGGAUAACAAAUGGAAACGUUUGCUAAUACCUUAUACUCCUUAUUAACAGAAGUUAAUAAGGGAAAGAUUUAUUGGUAAGAGAUUAGCCUGUAUUGUAUCAGUUAGUUGGUGGGGUAACGGCUUACCAAGACUAUGACACAUAACUGGUUUGAGAGGAUGAUCAGUCACACUGGAACUGAGACACGGUCCAGACUCCUACGGGAGGCAGCAGUGGGUAAUAUUGCACAAUGGACGAAAGUCUGAUGCAGCAACGCCGCGUGGAGGAUGACACAUUUCGGUGCGUAAACUCCUUUUAUAUGAGAAGAUAAUGACGGUAUUAUAUGAAUAAGCACCGGCUAACUCCGUGCCAGCCGCCGCCGUAA